CAGAAUAUAGUUUAAUAUAAAAUUUAGAUUUUGGGUAUCUAAGAUAUGUAAAUGCAUUAUUCUGA
rnacentral:tRNA from 1 species